UACAGAGGAUGCAAGCGUUAUCCGGAAUGAUUGGGCGUAAAGCGUCUGUAGGUGGCUUUUUAAGUCCGCCGUCAAAUCCCAGGGCUCAACUCUGGACAGGCGGUGGAAACUACCAAGCUGGAGUACGGUAGGGGCAGAGGGAAUUUCCGGUGGAGCGGUGAAAUGCGUAGAUAUCGGAAGGAACGCCGGUGGCGAAAGCGGCGUGCUGGACACCUACUGACGCUGAGGCGCGAAAGCCAGGGGAGCGAACGGG
rnacentral:rRNA from 1 species